rnacentral:rRNA from 1 species
ACGGCUCAGUAACACGUGGACAACCUACCCUUGGGUCUGGCAUAAUCCUGGGAAACUGGGUAUAAUUCCAGAUAGGUCACAGAUGCUGGAAUGCACUGUGGCCGAAAGCUCCGGCGCCCAAGGAUGGGUCUGCGGCCUAUCAGGGUUGUAGUGGGUGUAACGGACCUACUAGCCUACGACGGGUACGGGUUGUGAGAGCAACAGCCCGGAGAUGGAUUCUGAGACACGAAUCCAGGCCCUACGGGGUGCAGCAGGCGCGAAAACUUUACAAUGCGGGAAACCGUGAUAAGGGAAUCUCGAGUGCCAGCAUAUAAUGUUGGCUGUCCAGAUGCCUAAAAAGCAUCUGUUAGCAAGGGCCGGGCAAGACCGGUGCCAGCCGCCGCGGUAACACCGGCGGCCCGAGUGGUAACCGCUUUUAUUGGGUCUAAAGGGUCUGUAGCCGGCCAAGUAAGUCCCUUGGGAAAUCUGGCAGCUUAACUGUCAGGCUGCUAGGGGAUACUGCUAGGCUUGGGACCGGGAGAGGUGAGAGGUACCUUGGGGGUAGGGGUGAAAUCUUGUGAUCCUCGGGGGACCACCAGUGGCGAAGGCGUCUCACCAGAACGGGUCCGACGGUAAGGGACGAAAGCUAGGGGCACGAACCGGAUUAGAUACCCGGGUAGUCCUAGCCGUAAACGAUGCUCGCUAGGUGUCAGUCACGGUGCGACCGUGAUUGGUGCCGUAGGGAAGCCGUGAAGCGAGCCACCUGGGAAGUAUGGCCGCAAGGCUGAAACUUAAAGGAAUUGGCGGGGGAGCAC